AUUACAAGUUAAAAAAAAAAAAUAUAAAAUUUAUAUUUAUAAAUGGAUUUAAGUAUAAUAUGAGCAUCUUAUUUGAUAUUGUUGUAAUCAUCUACUGGUCGUGCUAUUGCCGUCAUCAGUACUCAACGGACCGAUGCAAGGAAUAUAAUUGAGACAAUCCAUUAAAAUAUGUACUUUAUGUUGUGCAAACACGAACUUACAUCGUCGACCACAAGU